CCUACGGGUGGCAGCAGUGAGGAAUAUUGGUCAAUGGACGAGAGGCUGAACCAGCCAAGUCGCGUGCAGGAUGACGGCCCUACGGGUUGUAAACCUCUUUUGUCGGGGGGCAAAGCGCGUCACGUGUGACUCAUUGAGAGUACCCGAAGAAAAAGCAUCGGCUAACUCCGUGCCAGCAGCCGCGGUAAUACGGAGGAUGCGAGCGUUAUCCGGAUUUAUUGGGUUUAAAGGGUGCGCAGGCGGAUGUGCAAGUCAGCGGUCAAAUUGCGGGGCUCAACCCCGUACUGCCGUUGAUACUGUAUCCCUUGAGAGCGCUAGAGGUAGGCGGAAUGUGUGGUGUAGCGGUGAAAUGCAUAGAGAUCACGCAGAACUCCGAUUGCGAAGGCAGCAUACCGGCGUGCAUCUGACGCUCAUGCACGAAAGCGUGGGUAGCGAACAGGAUUAGAUACCCGGGUAGUC
rnacentral:rRNA from 1 species